GACGAACGCUGGCGGCGUGCUUAACGCAUGCAAGUCGAACGGAAAGGCCCUGCUUUUGUGGGGUGCUCGAGUGGCGAACGGGUGAGUAACACGUGAGUAACCUGCCCUUGACUUUGGGAUAACUUCAGGAAACUGGGGCUAAUACCGGAUAGGAGCUCCUGCUGCAUGGUGGGGGUUGGAAAGUUUCGGCGGUUGGGGAUGGACUCGCGGCUUAUCAGCUUGUUGGUGGGGUAGUGGCUUACCAAGGCUUUGACGGGUAGCCGGCCUGAGAGGGUGACCGGCCACAUUGGGACUGAGAUACGGCCCAGACUCCUACGGGAGACAGCAGUGGGGAAUAUUGCACAAUGGGCGGAAGCCUGAUGCAGCAACGCCGCGUGCGGGAUGACGGCCUUCGGGUUGUAAACCGCUUUCGCCUGUGACGAAGCGUGAGUGACGGUAAUGGGUAAAGAAGCACCGGCUAACUACGUG
rnacentral:rRNA from 1 species